GAGCCACUGCAGAGGAUGGCAGCUACAGUGGGCUUUCCGGAGUUGAGUCAGGUUCCCGUUGACUCUCCAGAGUUGAGUCAGGUUCCGGGUGACCUUCAAGAGUUGAGUCAGAUUCCCGUUGACCCUCCAGAGUUGAGUCAGGUUCCCAUUGACCCUCCAGAGUUGAGUCAGGUUCCCGUUGACCCUCCAGAGUCAAUUCAUGUUCCCGUUGAUCCUCCUGAAUCAAGUCAGAUUCCUGUUGACCUUCCAGAGUCGAGUCAGGUGCCCGUUGACUUUCCAGAGUUGAGUCAGGUUCCGGUUGACCCUCCAAAGUUGAGUCAGGUGCUCAUGGACCCUCCAGAGUCAGGGUUAGUCACCGUUGACCUUCCAGAGUCAGGGUUAGUCACCAUUGACCUUCCAGAGUCAGGGCUAGUUACCACGGACUUUCCAGAGUCAAGGCUAGUCACCGUUGACCUUUCAGAGUCAAGUCAAGUCACUGGGGAUCUUCAAGGACCGAGUCAAGUCACUGGGGAUCUUCAAGGACCGAGUCAAGUCACUGGUGAUCUUCAAGGACCGAGUCAAGUCACUGGUGAUCUUCAAGGACCGAGUCAAGUCACCGGAGUUCUUCAUGGGAGAAUUCAAGUCACCAGUGAUCUUCAUGAACAAAGGCAAGUCACCACUGAUCUUCAUUAACAAAGCCAAGUCACCACUGAUCUUCAUGAACAAAGCCAAGUCACCAAUGAUCUUCAUGAACAAAUGCAAGUCACCAAUGAUCUUCAUGAGCAGAGUCAAGUCAGCAUCGAUCUUCUGGAAUCCAGUAUAAACACCAUGGGAUUACCAGAGUUUCGUCACUCCUCUGUGGAACU
ensembl:lncRNA